UGGGAAUCUUGCGCAAUGGGCGAAAGCCUGACGCAGCCAUGCCGCGUGGAUGAUGAAGGUCUUAAGAUUGUAAAAUCCUUUCACCGGUGAAGAUAAUGACUGUAGCCGGAGAAGAAGCCCCGGCUAACUUCGUGCCAGCAGCCGCGGUAAUACGAAGGGGGCUAGCGUUGCUCGGAAUUACUGGGCGUAAAGGGAGCGUAGGCGGACAUUUAAGUCAGGGGUGAAAUCCCGAGGCUCAACCUCGGAACUGCCUUUGAUACUGGGUGUCUUGAGUGUGAGAGAGGUAUGUGGAACUCCGAGUGUAGAGGUGAAAUUCGUAGAUAUUCGGAAGAACACCAGUGGCGAAGGCGACAUACUGGCUCAUUACUGACGCUGAGGCUCGAAAGCGUGGGGAGCAAACAGGAUUAGAUACCCUGGUAGUCCACGCCGUAAACGAUGAUUGCUAGUUGUCGGGAAAGCUUGCUUUUCGGUGACGCAGCUAACGCAUUAAGCAAUCCGCCUGGGGAGUACGGUCGCAAGAUUAAAACUUAAAGGAAUUGACGGGGUCAUAGCUGUUUCCUG
rnacentral:rRNA from 1 species